rnacentral:tmRNA from 1 species
GGGGGCGCUCGGUUUCGACUGUUCGGAAUGGGCUCCUGUGGCAAGUCGAGGAUUGAACUGGUUGGCCUCGUUAAUCAUCUGGUUCAAACACAAUUGCUAAUAACGAAUUAGCUCUCGCAGCCUAAAGUGCUGUGACGUCGUUGCUCUGACUCCGGCUGGGGGACAACGGCGCAAUUUAGCCGGACAUCCUGCCAGGUGAGUGACCGACCUGGCAGGAUGAAUCAACGCGGUGGCUGGAAGGACGGGGCGCGGGACCGCGCAACCCGGACUUUGAGAAUCAAUCGGUCCCUAAACUUGUAGAAGCAGUUGCACUUACCGUCCAGGACGCGGGUUCGAGUCCCGCCGCCUCCACCC